UGAUCUUUUUGGUAACUUUAUGGAUGCGCUUGCUCAUGUUACUCUGUUCGACAAUAGGACCAUUUGGCUAACUGGUUGUUGGCGUGGGCUGUUGGCUACCUCAGUGUGGUUUGGCGUUCGUUUGAACUGAACGAGCCACUGCGAGGACGUUCUUGUUAGGGGUCAUUCCCGCAAGUUUUCGGUACGUAUUGUUUUGGUCGCGUCAAGCGCCAGUUUCUUAUUUAUUUUAUUAAUAUGCUGCUAUGUGCUCGACAGGUUGAGCUGGCCUUUCUGAUUACCGUCCAGGAACAGAGAGGGUAUUUGCCCGAGUGUGUGACGGCGCUGCUGUUUUGCCCGGGGGGAAAUUUUAUGAGUGUCUUACUCACCACCACUUGCCAGUUCGGUCGUCGACGGCAAGCUGUGUACCGUAUUGCCAAGGGCGAUUAAAUUGCCGCUUUUCCUACGGCAGGUUAAGCUGCUGUGUACAACUCCUGUCAGUGUUUGUUUUUAUUAAUGAAGACUUUACGCGUCGUUCCUUUACGGACAAAGUUAUUGUUACCCGCCUUAGGAGAGAGCCCUUCGGGACACCGUGACUUCAGCUCGAGGUAUCGGGUUUCAUUUUAUUAAUAUUGUCGACGCGAAUUGUCCCUGAUUUUGUGUAGUAUAUUGAGGCGUGUGACGCUGUGUUUUAUGUGUGUUAUGUAUUUCGUUUUUGAUGUAUUUUAUGUUUUUGGUUUGUUUUCUUUAUUUUUGAUUUACUCCCUUACUACUGGGGAUUGCUACUGUUAUGACCAGUAGGUCAUGCUAACUACGGCUGGAACGCACCUUUUGUAUUGCAUCUUUACUUCAAGGGAGUGCCUUACUCUGAGUUUACUUACAAUCUGGAACCCUUAUUAAUGGGGUAUUGUGUCUAUGAGCAGUAGUGAGUGUUUUUGUCUCUUUACGAGAACACAAAUACCUGUAUUUCCGAUUUGAGCAUUGGGUUCAUCCCCGUGGUAAUGGGACUUCUUUUGAGUCCUUUUGAUUAAAGUGUUAUUUUGUUUUUGUUUUCAUUUAUUUGAUGUUUUGUCAAUCAAGAUUGUAAUAUUCUUUAAAGGUUAAGUGUUUCUGUGUUAUUGUUAUUUUUGUUUUGGGUUAUUCGUGUGGGGUGGGUCAUCAUCCUUUUGGAGGGAGGUAUCUUAUCCUUUUCUUUGUGUGGGUUUCUGACACUGUGUGCUGUGCUUACCUGAUGAUCUUCACCUGUGUGCCGUGUGCAUAAAUUAGGGAUUACAAAGUAUAUGUGUGUGCAGCUAGGGGUUAUCUCCCGUCCCAUUAAGUAUUGACCCAUUUCCAGUAGGUGUGUUUAAAUGUUGUGUGUUAUUUUAAGUGACCUUUUAUUAUGUGUUGUGCUUAAGAUUUUAAAUAGAAAUAAAAGUAUAUAUAUAUUUUCCUAUUA